AUUCCAGCUCCAAUAGCGUAUAUUAAAGUUGUUGUGGUUAAAAAGCUCGUAGUUGGAUCUCGGCGGUCUGAGGGCGGUUCGCUUCAGAGCGCUACUGCCCUAUAGACCGUAGUUUUGCCAGAGGUCUCAGGGUGCUCUUAACCGAGUGUCUUGCGAUGCUGGCAGGUUUACUUUGAAAAAAUUAGAGUGCUCAAAGCAGGCUUUUACGCCUGAAUAUUCGUGCAUGGAAUAAUAGAAUAGGAAGUCGUUUCUAUUUUGUUGGUUUUCGGAAAUCGACUUAAUGAUUAAUAGGAGCAGUUGGGGAUGUCCGUAUUCGAUUGUCAGAGGUGAAAUCCUUGGAUUUAUUGAAGACGAACUACUGCGAAAGCAUUCAUCAAGGAUGUUUUCAUUA
rnacentral:rRNA from 1 species